ACUUCUAUGGUGAAACUGGUAGACACAAAAAACUCAAAAUUUUUUGCCGAAAGGUGUGUUGGUUCAAAUCCGACUAGAAGUA
rnacentral:tRNA from 1 species